rnacentral:lncRNA from 1 species
AGAGCACGCUCUGCGCUUUGGCGCGCCGGAGCUCUGGCUCCUAAAAUUAUUGAGGGGCUUUCGUUUUUGGGGCUGGGCGCUGGGCGCUUGCUCUCCUGGCUCCCAAAGAUGUAAGCAAUAAAGUUUUGCCGCAGAAGAUUCUGGUCUGUUGCAUCUUUCCUGGCCGGGCGUGAGAACGCGUCUAAUAAGAAUUGGUGCCGAAUUCCGGGACGAGAAAAAAAAACUCGGGACCGGCGCAGGGAAGAUCCCUCAUUCCAGAACCAGAACUGCGGGUCGCGGUAAUAAAGGUUCCCGUAAAGCAGACUGUUAAGAAGGAUUCAACUGUAUGAAUUCAGAACUUUUCAGCUGGGGAACGGCGGUAACCCGUAAGUAUAGCUUUACGAGGUAAGCCUGGCCUUGAACUUUCUAAGGAAAUUCAAGACAGUCUAUCAGAAGUAAAGUGGAAAAUAGCUUUAUAAGGUAUGUUUGGCCUUGAACUUUCUCUAGUGUUAGAAGCCCUUUUGUUCCUUUUCACAUGUUAUCAAGUGGUUAAGGCAGGGCGGAUUCUGGAUGAAGUUCAGGACAAUCUAUCAGAAGUAAAGCGGGGAGAGAGAGUAGGAGCAAAGAGAAAAUAUGGUACACAAAAUAAGUAUACAGGCCUUUCCAAGGGUCUUGAACCCGAGGAAAAGUUUAGGUCAGGUAAGAAUACCUGGGGAGAGAUUAGAAGGAAGGAG